rnacentral:precursor_RNA from 12 species
GGACAGGAGGUCCCGCUGAGAUGGAGGGGCAAGCCCUUACCCCACUGCUUAAUAGGUAUUUAUCUGUUAGGGUGGGGGAAGGUACUACUCCUUCAUCUCAUAGCACAACGUCUCUCAG